rnacentral:rRNA from 1 species
UGGUGGAGUGAUUUGUCUGGUUAAUUCCGUUAACGAACGAGACCCCUGCCUGCUAAAUAGUCAAAUGAGUGAUUUUUCACUGAUUGUGGCUUCUUAGAGG